rnacentral:lncRNA from 1 species
UUCAACAUUAAUUUCAUGUCUACAACAAAAAAACGAACUCCUUUUGAACAUUGUGUGACAGAAGCACUUCUGAUCACCUCCAACAGAGGUGUUUAACAUUAAAGAAAAAGGCUUAGAAACCAACAUAGUGAGACAGGUCACAGAUCGGGCGUAUUAACAAAUAAUCCGACAAUAUGCUGGCCAAGAACAUGUCCAAUCUGGAACUUCCUGCUACCGUCCUCUCCUCUCGCUCUUUGUAGGAUCUACCCUGCCAAUGUUGCCAACAAAUCGAACACUCCGCUGCAAGCCAAGGUCUUGGCCUCCCGCUUCGCAACAUCUCCCCCUCGCUCCUGUUGUUCCAUAAAAUCACAUCACGUCAAAUGUACAUUUAGGUCAACGGGAUAGCCGCAAAAUACGAACAUACAUCAACUUCCUGUCAAACGCUUCAAUUGUAAGUGAUACAUACAAUAUUAUUAUUGUAGAUCUCAUGAUAAUUUCACUCUCUAAAUAAAAUUCACGACUCCAUGAUCAAAUCAGAAAUGCAGAUUGGUGCUCCGCUCCUUUCCACGCAUGCAACAUCCAUGAACUCGCAAACACUGCAAAAUCACUCUUAGAGGAUGCUAGCAGGCCAUAGUAAAUAAACACCAACACCGGUUCAGUCCUCACCUGAAUGAAGCUCAACAUUAAUCGCCAUGCCACAGCUAACUACUGCUCCUAUAACUAAUAUACAAUAGAAUAGAGUAAAUUACAUUUUCUUCGAAGUGAACAACACACACCAUGAAGUUGUUUCCCUUGGAAAUUCAUUUCAUCGUACAUGCGUCCCAAUGAUCAAGAUGAAUGGAGAGAAAAGCGUACUUCACCCCACCAUUACAGCUGCAUGGAGACAGACGAAGAACUGUAUAAAUUAUAGUGAAAACAAACACAUAAACAAAGUAGGUAGAUCAAAAACACAAUCUUAUCGGAAGACUAAUUCUAAUACUCGAUUGACAAAACCUUGAAUCAAGAGAGAUUUGAGUGAGUCAACAGAAAAAUCAAAUUCUACCUGGUCACAUGUAAUGAAGAGAGCUGCGAGUUGCUCCUCUGUUACCUGUGGCACAUAUUGAAUCGAAAGCCAAAAAUUUCCAAUAACAUAUUAACAACCAAUACUUAUAAAAAAAUUAAAAUUUUUGGCAGAAAGGGAGAUUGGCAAAAAGAUAGAAAGGAAGUUUGUGCCACUAAUUGCACUCACUCAAUUUUAAUAAAAUUCAAGAGAAUUCACUCAUUCAAGUAGACUGUCUCUAGCAUGAACAGAGGAGUUUGCACAAUCAGCCACAACUUUAAUAAAAAUUACGGUCUUGUUUCCUUGUUUGAGUUACAUUUUCACCAUUAAGCAUCGAAGAAGGUGCAGAACAAAGAAAAUGAUCCAUUUAAAACGUCCAUGUGAAAGCCACUAAACCCUAACCUCUGAUCACAAAAACUCAGAUUUAUCAAAACUUAGUAUUCACCUCCCCAACACCAUCUCUAAAUCACACAUAUCAGGUGCAAAAUGUUAAUAAAAAUCCCAACAAAGUAAAAACAAAGAAAAUACUAAAAAAACGGAAAAAAAACAAACAGGAACCAAAAUUUACCUUUGUUUUCCACGCACAACUUUCAACCUCUCACAACGCCUGCGUGAACUAUGACUCCUUGCAUUCAAAAGAAUCCACAAGAAGAUUUCAAGUGAAAAAAGCUGAAACUUUUUCUCAUGUGAUGCAAAUGUAGAAAAAGAUAGGUCAUGUUUUUUCUCAUGUAAUAAAGAGUAAACAUUCAUGACAACGCUUACAAAACAUAAAGUUCCAUUCAAAGAAGCAAAAACAAAUAGAACCUGUAUAUUCAAGAUACAAUAAUUUUGGAUUUACUGGUUACUUCCUUGAUAAAGAUGUAGUUUUCGUCAAAAGAGGCAGUAGCAACCGUCUCCUUGUUUUUUUGUUAAAGAUGCUUUCUUGCAGCAAUAUUUCAGUCAAGAAGCCAGUUUUACCCUUGUGAUCAGAAGUUUUGAAGAAUUUCUGCAAAGUAUGUUCCUCCUAUUGAACUUCAUAGUUUGCAGCAUUAACCCAUUAUCUUGCCAUCGCUUCUUUUAUUUCUUCCUGGUCUUGUUUUGUUUUGGCUUUUUUUGUGUUACCACCUGUGUUUGGAUUCAGCUUAGGUCUGUGUUCCAUCUUUUCCUCCACGCCUUAAGCUGAACUAAUUAACACCUAAUUAAUGUUGCAAGAUCAUGUUUAGGUAGAUAACUAUGAUCAACGAUUCUUGAGAUGAGAGUUGAUGUUUACCUGGUAGCACAACAACAAACUCUUCCUCCACUAGCAAGGAUACAAACUCUAUGUCGUUUGUUAUGUCCGUAGACACAGAACGGCCAAUUUUCACUUGCAAAAUAGAAAGCUAAAAAGUUAAAAUGAUGAAGGCUAAAGAAUGCCAACUAGAUGAUAAAAAAUGAGACUUUUGGAAAUUAAGGCUUCCCAAGCUGCUACAUAUGCACGGCUUUCGUGGUUAGGAUUGUGAAGCACCCAAUGAUCCAUAAGGUUCAAUAAGUAAUAGGCAAGCUUUUGUAUUAUUGGAGAGAAUAAAGCGUUAGAUACAAUUUGCAAACCAUUUCAAGCUGCGAGUGGCUUCUCUGUUACUUGUGGCAUAUAUCAAAAGCAAAUAAUUUUCAAUAACGUUAUUCAUGGUUAUUUUGUUUCGGCGAAGAGGAAGGGGUUUUAUUUGAGCGUGGAGGUUUGAAGAAGAAUCUUGUAGCAG